rnacentral:rRNA from 1 species
GGNACGGNCAGACUAGAGUGCGGUAGGGGAGAUUGGAAUUCCUGGUGUAGCGGUGGAAUGCGCAGAUAUCAGGAGGAACACCGAUGGCGAAGGCAGAUNUCUGGNCCGUAACUGACGCUGAGGAGCGAAAGCAUGGGGAGCAAACAGGCUUAGAUACCCUGGUAGUCCAUGCCGUAAACGUUGGGAACUAGAUGUGGGGACCAUUCCACGGUCUCCGUGUCGUAGCUAACGCAUUAAGUUCCCCGCCUGGGGAGUACGGCCGCAAGGCUAAAACUCAAAGGAAUUGACGGGGGCCCGCACAAGCGGCGGAGCAUGCGGAUUAAUUCGAUGCAACGCGAAGAACCUUACCAAGGCUUGACAUAUUCGAGAACGCGCUGGAGACAGCGAACUCUUUGGACACUCGUAUACAGGUGGUGCAUGGUUGUCGUCAGCUCGUGUCGUGAGAUGUUGGGUUAAGUCCCGCAACGAGCGCAACCCUCGUCCUAUGUUGCCAGCACGUAAUGGUGGGAACUCAUGGGAUACUGCCGGGGUCAACUCGGAGGAAGGUGGGGAUGAGGUCAAAUCAUCAUGCCCCUUAUGUCUUGGGCUUCACGCAUGCUACAAUGGCCGGUACAAUGGGCUGCAAUACCGUAAGGUGGAGCGAAUCCCAAAAAGCCGGUCUCAGUUCGGAUUGAGGUCUGCAACUCGACCUCAUGAAGUCGGAGUCGCUAGUAAUCGUAGAUCAGCAACGCUACGGUGAAUACGUUCCCGGGCCUUGUACACACCGCCCNUCAANNNNNGAAAGUCGGUAACACCCGAAG